rnacentral:rRNA from 1 species
GAGUUUGAUCCUGGCUCAGAACGAACGCUGGCGGCGUGCCUAACACAUGCAAGUCGAACGGGAUUAGGGGCUUGCUCCUAAUCUAGUGGCGCACGGGUGAGUAACGCGUAGAUAAUCUGCCUGACGAUCUGGGAUAACACUUCGAAAGAGGUGCUAAUACCGGAUAAGCCCACGGAGUCUUUGGAUUCUGCGGGAAAAGGGGGGGACCUUUUGGCCUUCUGUCGUCAGAUGAGUCUGCGUACCAUUAGCUAGUUGGUAGGGUAAAGGCCUACCAAGGCUACGAUGGUUAGCUGGUCUGAGAGGAUGAUCAGCCACACUGGAACUGAGACACGGUCCAGACUCCUACGGGAGGCAGCAGUGGGGAAUUUUGCGCAAUGGGGGAAACCCUGACGCAGCAACGCCGCGUGAGUGAUGAAGGCCUUUGGGUCGUAAAGCUCUGUCAGAGGGGAGGAAAUGAUAUAGUGCUAAUACCACUUUAUCUUGACGGUACCUCAAAGGAAGCACCGGCUAACUCCGUGCCAGCAGCCGCGGUAAUAC